GCAGUCGAGCGGUAACAGGAGAAGCUUGCUUCCCGCUGACGAGAGGGGGACGGGGGAGUAAUGUGUGGGGAUCUGUCCGAUAUAGGGGGAUAUCUACUGUGAACGGGAGCUAUUACCGCAUAAUCUCUCAGGAGCAAAGAAGGGGAACUUCUGUCCUUGCGCUAUCUGAUGAACCCCUAUGGGAUUAUAUAUAAGGUGAGGGAAUGGGUCUCCUAUGCGACAAUCCCUAUAUGGGCUGAGAGGAUGAUCACACACACUGUGACUGAGACACGGGCCACACUCCUACACGAGGCAGGAGAGGGGAAUAUUGCGCAAUGGGCGCAAGCCUGAUGCAGACAUGUCGCGUGUAUGAAAAAAGCCCUAUGGGUGUAAAGAACUUUCACACGGGAGGAAGGCGUUGAUGCUAAUAUCAUCAUCGAUUGACGCUACCCCCAGAAAAAAAACCGGCUAUAUCCGCGCCACCAGCCGCGGUAAUACAGAGGGUGCGAGCGUUAAUCGGAAUUACUGUGCGUAAAGAGCACGCAGGCGGUUGAUUAAAUUAGAUGUGAAAUCCCCGCGCUUAACCUGUGAAUGGCAUCUAAGACUGUGCAGCUAUAGACUCGUAGAGGGGGGUAGAAUUCCAUGUGUAGCGGUGAAAUGUGUAUAGAUGUGGAGGAGUACCGCUGUGCGAAAGCGGGCCCCCUGUACA
rnacentral:rRNA from 2 species